GUAUUUUAAGUUUAGCUAACCAGGUUCCUUUCCUCACUGGGGGCCUGGAGAGUAAUGGCUGCAAACAAGUCUCUGGGAGUAGUGUGUGUGGUCCGAUGCUUAUAUGGGCUCCAAGAGGCUCUGUGGAGACAGUU